UGGGCAACCUGCCCUUGACUCUGGAAUAACAGCUGGAAACAGCUGCUAAUACCGGAUACGACCUCCGAUGGCAUCAUCUGGAGGUGGUAAGCUCCGACGGUCAAGGAUGGGCUCGCGGCCUAUCAGCUUGUUGGUGAGGUAACGGCUCACCAAGGCUUCGACGGGUAGCCGGCCUGAGAGGGCGACCGGCCACACUGGGACUGAGAUACGGCCCAGACUCCGUAGGAGG
rnacentral:rRNA from 1 species